rnacentral:rRNA from 1 species
CCUACGUGAGGCAGCAGUGAGGAAUAUUGGUCAAUGGGCGCGAGCCUGAACCAGCCAAGUAGCGUGAAGGCUGACUGCCCUACGGGUUGUAAACUUCUUUUAUAAAGGAAUAAAGUGAGGCACGUGUGCCUUUUUGUAUGUACUUUAUGAAUAAGGAUCGGCUAACUCCGUGCCAGCAGCCGCGGUAAUACGGAGGAUCCGAGCGUUAUCCGGAUUUAUUGGGUUUAAAGGGAGCGUAGAUGGGUUGUUAAGUCAGUUGUGAAAGUGUGCGGCUCAACCGUAAAAUUGCAAUCGAUACUGGCAGUCUUGAGUACAGUUGAGGUAGGCGGAAUUCGUGGUGUAGCGGUGAAAUGCUUAGAUAUCACGAAGAACUCCGAUUGCGAAGGCAGCUUACUAAACUGCCACUGACAUUGAUGCUCGAAAGUGUGGGUAUCAAACAGGAUUAGAUACCCCAGUAGUC